rnacentral:rRNA from 1 species
GGGUUGUGAGGUUAAGCGACUAAGCGUACACGGUGGAUGCCCUGGCAGUCAGAGGCGAUGAAGGACGUGCUAAUCUGCGAAAAGCGUCGGUAAGGUGAUAUGAACCGUUACAGCCGGCGAUGUCCGAAUGGGGAAACCCAGUGCAAUUCGUUGCACUAUCGUUAACUGAAUACAUAGGUUAACGAAGCGAACCGGGGGAACUGAAACAUCUAAGUACCCCGAGGAAAAGAAAUCAACCGAGAUUCCCCCAGUAGCGGCGAGCGAACGGGGAGCAGCCCAGAGUCUGAAUCAGCUUGUGUGUUAGUGGAACGGUCUGGAAAGUCCGACGGUACAGGGUGAUAGUCCCGUACACCAAAAUGCACAGGCUGUGAACUCGAAGAGUAGGGCGGGACACGUGGUAUCCUGUCUGAAUAUGGGGGGACCAUCCUCCAAGGCUAAAUACUCCUGACUGACCGAUAGUGAACCAGUACCGUGAGGGAAAGGCGAAAAGAACCCCGGCGAGGGGAGUGAAAAAGAACCUGAAACCGUGUACGUACAAGCAGUGGGAGCACCUUCGGGUGUGACUGCGUACCUUUUGUAUAAUGGGUCAGCGACUUAUAUUCUGUAGCAAGGUUAACCGUAUAGGGGAGCCGCAGGGAAACCGAGUCUUAACUGGGCGUUAAGUUGCAGGGUAUAGACCCGAAACCCGGUGAUCUAGCCAUGGGCAGGUUGAAGGUUGGGUAACACUAACUGGAGGACCGAACCGACUAAUGUUGAAAAAUUAGCGGAUGACUUGUGGCUGGGGGUGAAAGGCCAAUCAAACCGGGAGAUAGCUGGUUCUCCCCGAAAGCUAUUUAGGUAGCGCCUCGUGAACUCAUCUUCGGGGGUAGAGCACUGUUUCGGCUAGGGGGUCAUCCCGACUUACCAACCCGAUGCAAACUACGAAUACCGAAGAAUGUUAUCACGGGAGACACACGGCGGGUGCUAACGUCCGUCGUGAAGAGGGAAACAACCCAGACCGCCAGCUAAGGUCCCAAAGUCACAGUUAAGUGGGAAACGAUGUGGGAAGGCACAGACAGCCAGGAUGUUGGCUUAGAAGCAGCCAUCAUUUAAAGAAAGCGUAAUAGCUCACUGGUCGAGUCGGCCUGCGCGGAAGAUGUAACGGGGCUAAACUGUGCACCGAAGCUGCGGCAGCGACACUAUGUGUUGUUGGGUAGGGGAGCGUUCUGUAAGCCUGCGAAGGUGGCCUGUGAGGGUUGCUGGAGGUAUCAGAAGUGCGAAUGCUGACAUAAGUAACGAUAAUGCGGGUGAAAAGCCCGCACGCCGGAAGACCAAGGGUUCCUGUCCAACGUUAAUCGGGGCAGGGUGAGUCGACCCCUAAGGCGAGGCCGAAAGGCGUAGUCGAUGGGAAACAGGUUAAUAUUCCUGUACUUGGUGUUACUGCGAAGGGGGGACGGAGAAGGCUAUGUUAGCCGGGCGACGGUUGUCCCGGUUUAAGCAUGUAGGCGGAGGUUCCAGGUAAAUCCGGUACCUUUUUAACGCUGAGGUGUGAUGACGAGGCACUACGGUGCUGAAGUAACAAAUGCCCUGCUUCCAGGAAAAGCCUCUAAGCAUCAGGUAACAUUAAAUCGUACCCCAAACCGACACAGGUGGUCAGGUAGAGAAUACCAAGGCGCUUGAGAGAACUCGGGUGAAGGAACUAGGCAAAAUGGUGCCGUAACUUCGGGAGAAGGCACGCUGAUAUGUAGGUGAAGCCCCUGCGGGUGGAGCUGAAAUCAGUCGAAGAUACCAGCUGGCUGCAACUGUUUAUUAAAAACACAGCACUGUGCAAACACGAAAGUGGACGUAUACGGUGUGACGCCUGCCCGGUGCCGGAAGGUUAAUUGAUGGGGUUAUCCGUAAGGAGAAGCUCUUGAUCGAAGCCCCGGUAAACGGCGGCCGUAACUAUAACGGUCCUAAGGUAGCGAAAUUCCUUGUCGGGUAAGUUCCGACCUGCACGAAUGGCGUAAUGAUGGCCAGGCUGUCUCCACCCGAGACUCAGUGAAAUUGAACUCGCUGUGAAGAUGCAGUGUACCCGCGGCAAGACGGAAAGACCCCGUGAACCUUUACUAUAGCUUGACACUGAACAUUGAGCCUUGAUGUGUAGGAUAGGUGGGAGGCUUUGAAGCGUGGACGCCAGUCUGCGUGGAGCCAACCUUGAAAUACCACCCUUUAAUGUUUGAUGUUCUAACGUUGGCCCCUGAUCGGGGUUGCGGACAGUGUCUGGUGGGUAGUUUGACUGGGGCGGUCUCCUCCCAAAGAGUAACGGAGGAGCACGAAGGUUAGCUAAUCCUGGUCGGACAUCAGGAGGUUAGUGCAAUGGCAUAAGCUAGCUUGACUGCGAGCGUGACGGCGCGAGCAGGUGCGAAAGCAGGUCAUAGUGAUCCGGUGGUUCUGAAUGGAAGGGCCAUCGCUCAACGGAUAAAAGGUACUCCGGGGAUAACAGGCUGAUACCGCCCAAGAGUUCAUAUCGACGGCGGUGUUUGGCACCUCGAUGUCGGCUCAUCACAUCCUGGGGCUGAAGUAGGUCCCAAGGGUAUGGCUGUUCGCCAUUUAAAGUGGUACGCGAGCUGGGUUUAGAACGUCGUGAGACAGUUCGGUCCCUAUCUGCCGUGGGCGCUGGAGAAUUGAGGGGGGCUGCUCCUAGUACGAGAGGACCGGAGUGGACGCAUCACUGGUGUUCGGGUUGUCAUGCCAAUGGCAUUGCCCGGUAGCUAAAUGCGGAAGAGAUAAGUGCUGAAAGCAUCUAAGCACGAAACUUGCCCCGAGAUGAGUUCUCCCUGACUCCUUGAGAGUCCUGAAGGAACGUUAAAGACGAUGACGUUGAUAGGUCGGGUGUGUAAGCGUAGCGAUACGUUGAGCUAACCGAUACUAAUGAACCGUGAGGCUUAACCUUACAACGCCGAAGGUGUUU